AUAUUAAGCGCCUGAGCCUGAGCUUUUCAGGCUGACGAGGUAAAGAGUUAUCGAAUUAUCGGCGGAUGCUCUUUCGUACACCUUUGGUGCGUUACAAAAAGGCAAAAACUGCGGGUAACCGCAGAACAAAUA
rnacentral:ncRNA from 1 species